GCAAUUAUACAGCGAAACUGCGAAUGGCUCAUUAUAUAAGUUAUCGUUUAUUUGAUAGUACCUUACUACUUGGAUAACCGUGGUAAUUCUAGAGCUAAUACAUGCUGAAAAUCCCGACUUCGGAAGGGAUGUAUUUAUUAGAUUAAAAACCAAUGCCCUCUGGGCUCUCUGGUGAUUCAUAAUAACUUCUCGAAUCGCAUGGCCUUGCGCCGGCGAUGGUUCAUUCAAAUUUCUUCCCUAUCAACUUUCGAUGUUUGGGUAGUGGCCAAACAUGGUUGCAACGGGUAACGGAGGGUUAGGGCUCGACCCCGGAGAAGGAGCCUGAGAAACGGCUACUACAUCCAAGGAAGGCAGCAGGCGCGCAAAUUACCCAAUCCCGAUUCGGGGAGGUAGUGACAAUAAAUACUGAUACAGGGCUCUUUUGGGUCUUGUAAUUGGAAUGAGUACAAUUUAAAUCCCUUAACGAGGAACAAUUGGAGGGCAAGUCUGGUGCCAGCAGCCGCGGUAAUUCCAGCUCCAAUAGCGUAUAUUAAAGUUGUUGUGGUUAAAAAGCUCGUAGUUGAACCUUGGGCCUGGCUGGCCGGUCCGCCUCACCGCGUGUACUGGUCCGGCCGGGUCUUUCCCUCUGUGGAACCCCAUGCCCUUCACUGGGUGUGGCGGGGAAACAGGACUUUUACUUUGAAAAAAUUAGAGUGCUCCAGGCAGGCCUAUGCUCGAAUACAUUAGCAUGGAAUAAUGAAAUAGGACGUGCGGUUCUAUUUUGUUGGUUUCUAGGACCGCCGUAAUGAUUAAUAGGGACAGUCGGGGGCAUCAGUAUUCAAUUGUCAGAGGUGAAAUUCUUGGAUUUAUUGAAGACUAACUACUGCGAAAGCAUUUGCCAAGGAUGUUUUCAUUAAUCAGGAACGAAAGUUAGGGGAUCGAAGACGAUCAGAUACCGUCGUAGUCUUAACCAUAAACUAUGCCGACUAGGGAUCGGACGAUGUUAUUUUUUGACUCGUUCGGCACCUUACGAGAAAUCAAAGUGC
rnacentral:rRNA from 1 species